rnacentral:lncRNA from 1 species
AUUAUCUUAACUUAUACAUGAAUACUCAAAAUAAGCAGUUAACGGGAGUUACAAGGAUGUAAACAAAUACCGGUCAAAAUGCACACAAUUCACCACUUCACACAAAAAAUACAAAAAUUACAGAAAGAUCACUUAUCCGGUGAUCAGCAAAGUUCAUAAUACAAGUAAUAAAAACUUACUCUGUGGUAUCAGCACCAUUAUAAAGGAAAUAAAAUGAAUUUCUGUAGUGAAAC